rnacentral:ncRNA from 2 species
CGGCCAUCAGCGGGAGAGACCCUGGCCGUAAAGGCCGGGGCGCCGAAGGAGCAACCGCCCCGGAAACUCUCAGGCACAAGGGACCGCUGAGCCUGU